GUGCAUCCUGCGCCCCGAGCUCGCGCCCCGCCGCCGGGUACCUGCCCCGGGCCCCGGGCCGCCUGCAGGCGACAGGCAGCCGCAUCCACAUGGCCUCAGGUGUUGGUGCGGCCCCUCCCCGGCCCGCUCCAAGCCCGGCCCUCCACCGCGCCCGCCUCGCCUCCAGCCCGCAGCCAAGAGGCCAGCAACGCCGGUCCCCGCGGGGGCUGCCAGGAGCGCGGACCCCUCUGCACCCCAGGCCGCGACGAGCAGAGUCCAAAGGUUUCAACGAGGCCAGAACUCCAGAAGCCCUAGAGAGCAGAGCCUGCGUUGAUGGCCAUGCCUAGUGUCAGCAUGGGGACUGCACAGGAUCUACCCAUGGUCAUCAGCACAUGGGUAUAAGAACCUUCAACGAAGUCCCCAUACUCCGGAGCCCUCGGCUUCUUCAUCCCAGGGAGAUUAUUUCUGCUCACUACAGAGGCCUGCCUCACGUGCAACAUCAUGAGCGGCUGUUCCGGGGAAGUGAGGAGCCACAACUACCCAGCACAGAGGCGGUGGAGCUGAGUGCUGGCAGGAGGGGGUUCUGCUCAUGAUCUCUGGGAUGCUCCAUGGCAGUGUGUCACCUCCCCGGGCCAGCGGUGGGUGGCCAGCUCCCAAACCCCAUAGCACCUGUAUCUGGAUAUACUCACACGUGGUACAUGCCCAGGUGCUGGGUAGCCCUGGGCCUCCUGGAUGCGGCUCCCUGGCUCGGCCCUUGGGCCCCUCCCCUAGCCUAGGUACAGUGCUAGUGGGGAGCAGCAGUAGCCAAGCCAGGCAGAGGUGGCCCAUCUGCAGGCUGACUGCAGAAUCAGAGGGAAAAACAUCCUUUCUGGAAAAACCAGUGGGCAGAUGAUACUGCCCAAGGCACAGCCUACAUGGAAACCAUCCGAGAAAACCAGCAACAGGAAAAUCAGGGCCCUUCAGAGAAGCAGGAAACCGAAGCAGGCCUUAGUUCUCCUCCACAGAAAGGGAAGCUGAGGUUCAGGAUGGUGGCAUCCCAUGCUCAAGGCCCCUCAGUCUCUCAGUGGCUCUGCCACAUGUCCAACCAAUGGCUCAUUUGCAGUAGUGGGUGGGCCCUUGCUGAUCUUCAGGCCUCACGCUCUAGCAGUCUACUUCCCUCUGAUCUCGUCCACAGUAACCAGGGACACUGGCCAGCCUCAUCGAGAAAAUGCCAAGUCUCUAGAGCUUUUUCCCUGCACUUUCUGCUCUGGGCUACCUGUACCUCCGCCUUGCCCUAACAGAGCUCAGGGCAAGGAAAGACUAUUAAUUUCGGCAGUCAGGCAGUGCCCGCCCAGCUUACGGUGAGUGCUGUUAUCACCCAGCAUGAUAACCACCCCCAUUUCACAGCUAGGGAAACUGACGUUCAGAGGGAUUAUGCAAUUGAUACAGAGAUAUCCAGGGGCUGAGUCUUUACUCUGGCCUGUGCUCUCUUCAAGCUAACAGCAAGUUCCCCCUACCCCGGAGAGCCUGGCUCCCUAAGCUGGUUGUCUGAGAGAACUAGGUCCUGUACCCUUCAUCCCAGCCCUGUGACAUGGGUGUCACUACCACCCCAGGACACCAAGACUCAAGUCAGAUGGCCUGAAUGAUACAGAGACUAAAUCCAAGCAGACGGGCCUUAGCCUCUGGUCUCCUUCUGUGCCGCCAUUUUGGUAAAACUUAGGGCUGGGAACUAGCAACCCAGCCUUUGUGGGAACUUCAGGUUACCCCAGGGUCCAGCCUGGAGGUGCUCCAAAUUCUCCGAAUCAUUUCCCUCAGCAGUGUUGCCUCCAGCCCUCCAGGCUGUGGUCUGUCUGGCCCGGGAAUGCAGCACAGAGGCCCUGGGUUUGACCCUCAAUGGGCAGAAGAAGAAGAGCGAAAAGUAAGGAAAUGCACACCAGUCUUUAAAUCCAAGUGGAGCCAUCCACAAAUCCCCACACCCCAAGGCAGCCUGACAGGCCUGACCUGGCAGAAGCUGGCAAGGUUCUGGAGAGCGGUCUAAGACAUGCACAUAUGUGAGGGUGAGCCUCAAUGAUACGUUCAUGGGUGACCUGCCCAGUCUGCCAACAGGGCCAGCUUGCCCGGCCUCUAGACCCUGCUCCCACUGUGGAAGAACCAGGUGCCUCUCGCCCUGUGGAAGCUCUGCUCCCUUCCCUGCCUUCACCAGGUAUGUUCUCUUCUGCCUUAGCCUGGCGGACUCCUACUCACCCUUCAGAAUCUUCAGAAGCCACCUUCCCUGUGAAGCCUCUCUUGAUUGCCCUGUUGAGACUAACAAGGUCCAAAGGGAGGCUUUGUCCAUUUGGGCUUUGUUUUUACUGUUUUAUCUUGCCCCCCAGGUUUCUGACACCUAGCUGAACACCUGGUCUGUACCUACCAUGUUCU